rnacentral:rRNA from 1 species
ACUCAAAGGAAUUGACGGGGGCCCGCACAAGCAGCGGAGCAUGUGGUUUAAUUCGAAGCAACGCGAAGAACCUUACCUGGACUUGACAUCCCCUGAAUUACCGGUAAUGCGGGAAGCCCUUCGGGGCAGGGAGACAGGUGGUGCAUGGUUGUCGUCAGCUCGUGUCGUGAGAUGUUAGGUUAAGUCCUGCAACGAGCGCAACCCUUAUCAUUAGUUGCUACCAUUAAGUUGAGCACUCUAGUGAGACUGCCCGGGUUAACCGGGAGGAAGGUGGGGAUGACGUCAAAUCAUCAUGCCCCUUAUGUCCAGGGCUACACACGUGCUACAAUGGUGAGUACAAUUAGAUGCAAACCCGCGAGGGGGAGCCAAACUAAAAAACUCAUCCCAGUUCGGAUUGUAGGCUGAAACUCGCCUACAUGAAGCUGGAGUUGCUAGUAAUCGCGAAUCAGAAUGUCGCGGUGAAUACGUUCCCGGGCCUUGCACACACCGCCCGU